AAUCCCAUCAAGCCUGGCUUGGUAUUGGGCGUCGGGGUCCCCCGCGCCUCGAUUUCACCGGCUGGCUGUUGCCCGUCUUAGCGUUGUGACACACUUUUCGCUGAGAGUGGCAGUAGACCAUGCCGUUAUAAAUUCACGAAUUUCAAUCGAAAUUCGAUUA
rnacentral:misc_RNA from 1 species